UAGAGAUUUUUAAUCUUGAAAAAUAAAAUUACUUGGCGGCUAAUUAACUGAAUAGAGAAGUAUGCUUAUUAAUGGAUGGUUCACAUAAAUCUUACCUAGUAUUGUGUUUCAUUUGGUACACCGCCGUCGGAAGAGUGUAUUUUACAUAUACUCCUGUUCUUUAUUUAGAAUUAAGUCAGGCCAAGGCCCCGAUUAUUAUUAGGUUUAAGUGUAUUUCAUUGUUAUUAUAAUGUCUAAUAGUUUAUGAGUAUAAUUAUUUAAAUAUUUUAAGUAAGUGAAUCUAUAAGUAA
rnacentral:rRNA from 1 species